UGGGGAAUAUUGGACAAUGGGGGGAACCCUGAUCAAGCCAUGCCGCGUGUGUGAAGAAGGCCUUAUGGUUGUAAAGCACUUUAAGCGAGGAGGAGGGUACUGGUAUUAAUACUACCAGGUACUGGACGUUACUCGCAGAAUAAGCACCGGCUAACUCUGUGCCAGCAGCCGCGGUAAUACAGAGGGUGCAAGCGUUAAUCGGAAUUACUGGGCGUAAAGCGCGCGUAGGUGGUUCGUUAAGUUGAAUGUGAAAGCCCCGGGCUCAACCUGGGAACUGCAUCCAAAACUGGCGAGCUAGAGUAGGGCAGAGGGUGGUGGAAUUUCCUGUGUAGCGGUGAAAUGCGUAGAUAUAGGAAGGAACACCAGUGGCGAAGGCGACCACCUGGGCUCAUACUGACACUGAGGUGCGAAAGCGUGGGGAGCAAACAGG
rnacentral:rRNA from 1 species